GUGCAGUCGUCGUCGUCGCCGUCCUCGCCGCCGCCGUCGUGCCGGUCCAGAGCGAGCGCAGCCAAGUGCAUAUUAGACGAGGCGGCCGCGAGCGCCGCGCAUUCGCCGGCGAGCGCUCGCUGAGAGUGGUGAGCACUCGCUCAUUCUACUCUUUCCCUCCUUCUCUGUCUUUCGCGCGCGACCCGUUCGUUCGCCUCCCGUGCGAGUACGAAUAAGUAUACACGGUCCGAAUUCACCGCGAAAACGCGAGUGAUUUUUUCUCCGAAAGCUGAAAAAGAUAUUUCCUUUCGAGAUUUCGGAAUUCUACUUUUAUGUGCACCGGCCAUCGAGUUUUGUAGCUUGUAGAGUGCAAACUUUGAUCGAUAAGUUGUGAACAUCGCGAAGUCUCGGAGUCUCAUCGAAAUGUGAUCCUGAAAUUGUAAACGUGAAGUAGUGCUUGACGCGUUAGGAGAGAGAGCUGCUGGCUUUCUUGUGUGCUUGAAUUUUCAAACACUUGCCUCGAUUUCACGUGCUAUGGCAACUGAAGUACGAUCGACGAGUUAUAAUCGAUUUUUGUUUGUCGAACUACGAUUGUCAGAUUCCAAUCAUAAUUGUGCAAGUGUCGAUAAUCGUUGAUAUAUACAUCAGCCGCAGCGCAGAGCGUCGGGGACGGGACUCCGUGCGGAGCACGUUCGAAAGCGUUCCUCGCGCUUUCGAGGUGCGAACGAGGGGACCACCAGCUCCGUCAUUCCGAGUCUCGCGAGCGUGCCUGUCAGGUUCGAUGUCCGGAAUAAGGCGGAUAUAAGCGGAGCAGCGGACGAAGGAAGGAAACCCGGGGAAAAAUUGGAAAAAAAAGAGAGAGAGAAGAAAAAUGCACACUCCUUUGCGCUCCUGUAACGAAGCGAACGACGCCCGAUUAAUAUUCAAAGCGGCGAAAUAUAUCGAAGAUAUCCGUUGAAGAACGGAGAAAGUUGACAGUUGCAAAUUAGCUGAAAUCCACUUAUGAAAUAUAAUCAAGUCGAUGUUAACAAAGAUUUUCUCUAACAAAAGUUCGCCGAGAAUCUCGCUGGGAAGAAAGGAAAAGCGUGGCGAAAGGAGAGGAGUACAAACAGAACUGCGUCACGUAAGACUCGUCAUCGUCAAAAUAGCGUGAAAUCCUGAUAAGAUAGCGGACGGUCGUUGAUAAACAGUCGUCUGCGAGACACGAGCGAGACAGGUUGUGCGAUCUCUAGACUGCAAGGACGCGCGAAGUGGGCGAUUGCGACAAUCAGCUGUUUUCCUCCGUCUGGAUCGUCAACUUGAAUCGCGGAGCUUUCGCAAGAAUCGUCACGCACGCGCAUACCGGAAAAGGGAUUGCGUUACUCAAUGAGCGUUUUUACGUAGCGUCAUUAAAGAUCACGUGCGAGGAAGAAUCACACUCGAACGGAAUUCGCCGACGUUACGUUCGUUCGUUCGUUCACCAAUUACAAAACGCGAGAGAGGCAGUCUAUUCAUCAACCGCAUUCACCAUUUCUUCGCAGUCGGCGGGGAUUAACGGAGAAGGUUUCAAUUACCGUUGCCAUUAAUAGUUCCGCAUCUAACCGCCGACGACUUCUUCGAAUGAUUAAUUGAUAACUGCAAUUGAAUACCUAGUCGAAGUGCGAGAAGAACGAGAGCGCAGCCUUUAAAACAGACUGAUAUUAUAUCUUCUCUGCUUAUAUUUCUCAUCAUUCUUUUUGCUCACAUCGUUGACAGAAGAUAUUCAAUAAUUCUGGAAUUUCAUCGUCGAGGAAUUAAUUAAUCAACAACUGAGUGGAUCGAGCAACAAUUUAAUUAUCGAGAAUUGAUCUAUUAAGGAUGAAAUUUAUAUAUAAUGGGGCGUUUCGGAAAUUAAUAAUUAACGACUGAUAACUCCCGUAACUAUAUCGUAUAAUCAUCGCGGAAUCGAACAGUGAUGACUCGAGUCGAUUGAUCGAUCGAUCGAUAUAAUAAUUAAUUCCGUCGCGAGUGCCCGCACGUGCGUAUUAAAUAAGUGUCCUGACGAGGACCUGAAUGUGAGUGCGGCGGUAAAGUGCAAAGUGGAUGUAAUUGGUGCAUCCGCCGCUGAAGCGAUGUGUGAUGCCAGUCCGAAUGACACUUAAUCCACGCAGCUGAUGACAAACGUAAACAGGAUCAAGGUGGUCGUCCUCGGCGGCCCCAGAGUCGGCAAGUCAGCGGUGGUUGUGCGAUACUUGACGAGGCGAUACAUCGGCGAGUACAGCUCGACCAGCGAUUUCCUCUACCGACACAGUGUUACUAUUGACAAUGUCACAACGGAAGUCGAGAUACUUGAUACCUCGAGGUGCGAGGAGAACGGUUGUCUGUACUCGCACAUACGAUGGGGCGAGGCCUUCGUCGUUGUCUACAGCGUGACAUGUAAGCGGAGCUUUCAGGAAGCUCGCGGACUCCUCAAGCAACUCGCAGAUCUACGUCUGCCAUCCUACUUCACUGCCCUCCUCCUCGGCAACAAGAGAGAUCUGGACCACGCGCGAGAAGUAUGCGUGGACGAAGGUCAACAGUUGUCCUUGGCACAUGGAUGUCAGUUCUACGAGGUAAGCGCCGCGGAGAGUCCUGCGGGAGCGGCAUUGGCCUUUCAAGCUCUCCUGCGAGAGGCGAGAUCGGUCCAGCUCCUGCGAGCGUUGCCGAUUCGCCGAAAACUCGGAGUACACUCGGUCUCGAGGGUCCUCGGGACGAUCUUUGGCAAGAACACCACCAAAGAUCGUAAGAAGAGGCCGUCGUUGAGCAUAUGACGCCUUCUAUGCGCCCUCCUCCUCGGAGGACGAGACGAGCCGGGCAGAAGGACCGACAUCGUCGUCCUCAGCAGCAACGUCUACUCCAAUCGCUGACGAGGUCCUCGGCAACGAUGAAGAGAAUCUCCCUUUUCGCGCUUUCCUGAAUUUUCGGGAAGAGCCACCAAUCAGAAAAUCGUUCUCCAAGUGUCUUUUGACAAGAGAUUUUUUUUUACCAAGCGUUUUCAUGAAAAAAUGCAUUUUCACUAUAGUAACAAUCGAGGUCCUCUCAAGCUUAUUCGGGGUCUAAAAGCUCCGAGGAUGUAAGACUGAUUUUCUGGCGCGGGAUCGACGCGCAGGAUCCAAAAUACGAGAUGCCUUGGAAGUCUGAAACGUGUGAAUUUAAUAAAAUAUCUGACAGCCGGAAGAUUCAGCCUCCGAGAAGAUUCUAUUUACUGGAGGGCGACAUCAUACUUUAAGAAAACUGUAUUACGAGUGUCGAAAGAGAAUGUUCGCGUGACGCUCACGAGUGUGAUUCCGCUUUGGUGAUGCUUACGGAUUUUUGCGAGAGAGAAGCGAAUCAACGUGGGAAAUUCGUGCUUGAUUGUGUGCAUAAAGGUGCCACGAGCGACGCGAAAAGGUAAGAUCGGAAAGCGGAAACGCGGGUGAAAGUGGUGCGAUGCACCUCGGCUACACCGAAAGAUUAGCCGUGUAAGGUGACCGGCUAAUCGAGGAACCGGAGGCUUCGUAUUACCUCACGAACGUCAAAUGGGACACGCCUUUUCUCGGCGCGCAACAGCUACCAUUAGCGCCCGAUCUUUCUAACAGCUGAUCGUUACAAAAAUUAUUAUCAUCAAGUAUCCGCGAGACCCUGAUCUUUUAGCUCCUUUUAUUUUCUCUCUUACACUCAACGUAUCGUUAAACACUGGACAUUACUCUU